UCAGACGAGCUGCGGCGUGCCUAACACAUGCAAGUCGAACGGAGCUAGAUGCUGAGGACGUAGCUUGCUAUUGAAUCUUGUUUAGCUUAGUGGCGGACGGGUGAGUAACGCGUGAGCAACCUACCUUUCAGAGGGGGAUAACGUUUGGAACGAACGCUAAUACCGCAUGAUAUUAUUGGGCAGCAUUGCCUGAUAAUCAAAGGAGCAAUCCGCUGAAAGAUGGGCUCGCGUCCGAUUAGGUAGUUGGCGGGGUAACGGCCCACCAAGCCGACGAUCGGUAGCCGGACUGAGAGGUUGAACGGCCACAUUGGGACUGAGACACGGCCCAGACUCCUACGGGAGGCAGCAGUGAGGGAUAUUGGUCAAUGGGGGAGACCCUGAACCAGCAACGCCGCGUGAGGGAAGACGGUUUUCGGAUUGUAAACCUCUGUCCUCUGUGAAGAUGAUGACGGUAGCAGAGGAGGAAGCUCCGGCUAACUACGUG
rnacentral:rRNA from 1 species